rnacentral:misc_RNA from 1 species
AACAAGGCGUACCUGCGGACCUGCGGAAGGAUCAUUACCGAGUUUACAACUCCCAAACCCCUGUGAACAUACCAAUUGUUGCCUCGGCGGAUCAGCCCGCUCCCGGUAAAACGGGACGGCCCGCCAGAGGACCCCUAAACUCUGUUUCUAUAUGUAACUUCUGAGUAAAACCAUAAAUAAAUCAAAACUUUUAGCAAUGGAUCU